AUUGAACGCUGGCGGCAGGCCUAACACAUGCAAGUCGAACGAGUGGAGGAGGGGUGAGUAAUGUAUGGGAAACUGACCGAAGGAGGGGGGUAACUACUGGAAACGGUAGCUCAUACCGCAUACCAUCGGAUGUGGCAACAGGGGAUGAGCUAGUAGGUGGGGUAACGGCUCACCUAGGCGACGAUGCCUAGCUGGUCGGAGAGGAUGACCAGCCACACUGGAACUGAGACACGGUCCAGACUCCUACGGGAGGCAGCAGUGGGGAAUAUUGGACAAUGGGCGCAAGCCUGAUGCAGCCAUGCCGCGUGUAUGAAGAAGGCCUUCGGGUUGUAAAGUACUUUCAGCGAGGAGGCGUUACUCGAAGAGGAAGCACCGGCUAACUCCGUGCCAGCAGCCGCGGUAAUAC
rnacentral:rRNA from 1 species